rnacentral:rRNA from 1 species
UUCCAGACUCCUACGGGAGGCAGCAGUGAGGAAUAUUGGUCAAUGGGCGGGAGCCUGAACCAGCCAAGCCGCGUGAGGGAAGAAGGUACAGCGUAUCGUAAACCUCUUUUGUCAGGGAACAAAGGCGGGGACUAGUCCCCGGAUGAGGGUACCUGAAGAAAAAGCAUCGGCUAACUCCGUGCCAGCAGCCGCGGUAAUACGGAGGAUGCGAGCGUUAUCCGGAUUUACUGGGUGUAAAGGGAGCGUAGACGGCAGUGCAAGUCCGGAGUGAAAGCCCGGGGCUCAACCCUGGGACUGCUCUGGAAACUGUAAAGCUGGAGUGCGGGAGGGGCAGGCGGAAUUCCUGGUGUAGCGGUGAAAUGCGUAGAUAUCAGGAGGAACACCGGCGGCGAAGGCGGCCUGCUGGACCGUAACUGACGUUGAGGCUCGAAAGCGUGGGGAGCAAACAGGAUUAGAUACCCCUGUAGA